GGGGUAGUGGCCUACCAAGGCGACGACGGGUAGCCGGCCUGAGAGGUGACCGGCCACACUGGGACUGAGACACGGCCCAGACUCCUACGGGAGGCAGCAGUGGGGAAUAUUGCGCAAUGGGCGGAAGCCUGACGCAGCGACGCCGCGUGGGGGAUGACGGCCUUCGGGUUGUAAACCUCUUUCAGCAGGGACGAAGCGGAAGUGACGGUACCUGGAUAAGAAGCACCGGCUAACUACGUGCCAGCAGCCGCGGUAAUACGUAGGGUGCGAGCGUUGUCCGGAAUUAUUGGGCGUAAAGAGCUCGUAGGCGGUUUGUCGCGUCGGCUGUGAAAACUGGAGGCUUAACCUUCAGCGUGCAGUCGAUACGGGCAGACUUGAGUGUUGCAGGGGAGACUGGAAUUCCUGGUGUAGCGGUGAAAUGCGCAGAUAUCAGGAGGAACACCGGUGGCGAAGGCGGAUCUCUGGGCCGAUACUGACGCUGAGGAGCGAAAGCGUGGGGAGCGAACAGGAUUAGAUACCCUGGUAGUCCACGCCGUAAACGGUGGGCAC
rnacentral:rRNA from 1 species